AGAGUUUGAUUAUGGCUCAUAACGAACGCUGGUGGCAUGCCUAAGACAUGCUGCUCUAACUACAUCUUCGGAUCUAGUGGCCCACGGAUGCCUAAUCCGUGGGAAUCUGCCCUUGGGUUCAGAAUGACUUCUAGAAACUGAACCUAAUACUGGAUGAUGACGUAUAUCCAAAAAUUUAUCGUCCAGCGAUGAACCCGCGUAGGAUUAUCUAAUUGGUGAGGUAAAUGCUCAACAAGGCCACCAUCCUUAGCUGGUCUGACAGGAUGAUCACCCACACUGGGACUGAGACACCGCCCACACUCCGACCGUAAGGAGCAGUAGGGAAUAUUGCACUAUGGGCGAAAGUCUGAUCCAGCAAUGCCGCAUGAGUGAUGAAAGCCUUAGGGUCUUAAAGCUCUUUUAGCCCGCAUGAUAAUGACUUAUACCGGGAUAAUAAGCUCCGGCUAACAUCCGUGCCAUCAACCACCUGAAUACCGAUGGAGCUAGCGUUGAUCGGAAUUACUGCGCGUAAAGCGCACGUAUGCGGCUAUUCAAGUCAUAUGUGAAAUCCCUGGGCUCAACCCCGGAACUGCCUUUGAAACUAGAUAGCUUGAAUCCUCCAUAGAUGAGUGGAAUUCCGAGUGUACACGUGAAAUUCAUAGAUAUUCGGAAGAACACCAGUGGCGAAGGCGGCUCACUGGACUGGUAUUGACGAUGAGUUGCGAAAGCGUGGGGAGCAAACAGGAUUAGAUACCGUGGUAGUCCACGCCGUAAACGAUGAUAACUAGCUGUCAGGGCACAUGGUGUCUUGGUGGCGCAGCUAUCGCAUUAAGUUAUCCGCAUGGGGAGUACGGUCUCAAGAUUAAAACUCAAAGGAAUUGACGGGGGCGAGCACAAGUGGUGGAGCAUGUGGUAUAAUUGGAAGCAACGCGCAGAUCCUUACCAAAGUUUGACAUCCGUAUCGCGGAUGGUGGAGACAUUUUCAUUCAGUUAGGCCGGAUAGGUGACAGGUGGUGCAUGGCUGUCGUCAGCUCGUGUCGUGAGAUGUUGGGUUAAGUCCCGCUAAUGAGCGCAACCCUCGCUUUUAGUCGCCAGCACUUAGUUGGGUACUGUAAAGGAACCGCCGGUGAUAAGCCGGAGGAAGGCGGGGAUGACGUCAAGUCCUCAUGGCCGUUAUGCGGUGGGCUACACACUUGCUACAAUGGUGAUUACAGUGGGCAGCCACCUCGCGAGAGGGAGCUAAUCUCCAAAAGUCGUCUCAGUUCGGAUCGUUCUAUGCAACUUGAGAGUGUGAAGGCGGAAUCGCUAGUAAUCGUGGAUCAGCAUGCCGCGGUGAAUACGUUCCCAGGCCUCGUACACACCGCCGGUCACACCAUGGGAGUUGGCUUCACUGGAAGGCGUUGAGCUAACCGUAAGGAGACAGGCGACCACAGUGGGUUUAGCGACUGGGGUGAAGUGGUAACAAGGUAACCG
rnacentral:rRNA from 2 species